rnacentral:rRNA from 1 species
UACGUAGGGCGCAAGCGUUAUCCGGAAUUAUUGGGCGUAAAGAGCUCGUAGGCGGUUUGUCGCGUCUGCCGUGAAAGUCCGGGGCUCAACUCCGGAUCUGCGGUGGGUACGGGCAGACUAGAGUGAUGUAGGGGAGACUGGAAUUCCUGGUGUAGCGGUGAAAUGCGCAGAUAUCAGGAGGAACACCGGUGGCGAAGGCGGGUCUCUGGGCCAUUACUGACGCUGAGGAGCGAAAGCGUGGGGAGCGAUCCGG